GAUGUGUGUGUGUGGCCCUCUCUCUCCUCAGUGGAUGCAGCACUGACACAUUGAGCACAAUGCACAACCCCUCCGUCUGUUUAGGUGCACCGAGUCCCGCCUCCUCCUUCCAUGCAGGAGGAGUCAAGGAGCUGAAACAAUCCAAUAGCUAAGGUGAAAGCGUCUCCACAAGCAGCCAUGGUGAUGCCCUGCAGCCCGGGCACCGGGUAGGGCACGCGGCUGCUACGACGUGAACUACAGCCCAUCUGGCCAUGCUGGUUGCUGCCAAAGGUAAAACACUGACCCUUUUCUGGACAAGGAAAAUGUGAAUUAAAGUGGUGAUGCAAAUUUCUUGGGCACAAUAAAUGAAACCAUGUUUGAUUUGA